rnacentral:rRNA from 1 species
GACGAACGCUGGCGGCGUGCUUAACACAUGCAAGUCGAACGAUGAAGAAAAGAAUUGAAGCUUCGGCAGAAAUUCAUUUCGGAUUAGUGGCAGACGGGUGAGUAACGCGUGAGCAACCUACCUCUUACAAAGGGAUAGCCUCGGGAAACCGGGAUUAAUACCAUAUAACAUUGCGACGAAGCAUUUCGAUGCAAUCAAAGCUACGGCGGUAAGAGAUGGGCUCGCGUCCCAUUAACCAGAUGGUGAGGUAACGGCUCACCAUAGUAACGAUGGGUAACCGGCCUGAGAGGGUGAACGGUCACACUGGAACUGAGACACGGUCCAGACUCCUACGGGAGGCAGCAGUGGGGAAUAUUGCACAAUGGAGGGAACUCUGAUGCAGCGACGCCGCGUGAGUGAUGAAGGAAUUCGUUUCGUAAAACUCUGUUCUAUGGGAAGAAAAGGACUGUACCAUAGGAGAAAGCUCCGGCUAAAUACGUGCCAGCAGCCGCGGUAAUACGUAUGGAGCGAGCGUUGUCCGGAAUUAUUGGGCGUAAAGGGUGCGCAGGCGGCUUUACAAGUUGGAUGUGAAAUAUUGUGGCUCAACCACAAACGUGCAUCCAAAGCUGCAAAGCUUGAGUUAAGGAGAGGUAAGUGGAAUUCCUGGUGUAGCGGUGGAAUGCGUAGAUAUCAGGAGGAAUACCGGUGGCGAAGGCGACUUACUGGACUUAAACUGACGCUCAGGCACGAAAGCGUGGGGAGCAAACAGG